AGACACCAUCAUGUAGGAAAUGUGAAUCUUUUACCCAUCUCUUCAGGACUCCCGAAGACAGAGAUGAGCCUUCUGUUCCCAGUGAUCACAGGGCCCCAGGAUGAAGCUAGCCUCAAGAUAAUAAAUCAGGCCUGGAUCUUGAGGAGGAAGGCACUUCUGAAAUAGCUGCAACUCCCGGUAAGUAUUGUACUUGGAAUUCACUGAAUGAUUGUGACACUUUUUUUUUCUGAAUGCAUUAGGGAACAAACAAAGAGAGUAUUGAAAUAAAGCCACAUCAUCUUGGCUUCUCAUUUGCUUCCUUACUGGGACUUAUUAUAUCUAACAGCAAAACUGAACCCUAGUGUUAUUUCUCUUGGAAAUUCACGAGGAGCUCUUCCUUCUGUUUUUUUUUUUUUUUUUUUUGUCUCACACAUUGAAUACUCAUUUUCUGUCCAUUUUGUGAAGUGUCUUAACAAUACUGCAAGUAGUUAGUGACCAAUAAUAAUCAAAUAAGAGCAAUUUUCAUAGGGCCAUUAAUAUUGCCAUGUGUGUUUUCCAUAUUUUAGAAGUUUCUCAAUUUUGGUUUGUCAGCCUGCCCAUGUGAUUCCAGAUCAGCCAAGGAGGCCAGGCUCCUCUUGCUUGGGCCAGGAUCACUUAACAGCUGUUUUGAGCUUGGCUGGUCUUUU
rnacentral:lncRNA from 10 species